rnacentral:misc_RNA from 1 species
AACACUGUUAACCUGCGGUACCUGCGGAAGGAUCAUUACCGAGUUAUACAACUCAUCAACCCCUGUGAACUUACCUACAACGUUGCUUCGGCGGGAACAGACGGCCCCGUAAAACGGGCCGCCCCCGCCAGAGGACCCCUAACUCUGUUUUUAUAAUGUUUUUCUGAGUAAACAAGCAAAUAAAUUAAAACUUUUAACAAUGGAUCU